rnacentral:tRNA from 1 species
AAGAGAGACCUAAUUCCGGUAGGAGACGAAAAAAAAGUAGUCCCUACCAAGAAUCAAUCCCAAAAGGUCGAAGCGAGGCAAGAUUGGCUUUCAAACUAGGUUCUGGGUUCAAACAAGACCUGAAUCAGGAACAAGGGCUAUUAGCUCAGGUGGUUAGAGCGCACCCCUGAUAAGGGUGAGGUCCCUGGUUCGAGUCCAGGAUGGCCCACCUGCACAGGUGGCAAAAACAAAGAAGCGAGGAAUCAGCACCUUAUCUUACUCAUAUAGUAAGAGAGAAUGCUGGCUCUGAGUAAAGAGUCCAGAGGAACCUUGAAAACUGCAUAGAGCUAGGUGAAAAAGCCAAAAAAGAAGACCGCAA